rnacentral:rRNA from 1 species
UACGUAGGGUGCAAGCGUUGUCCGGAAUUAUUGGGCGUAAAGAGCUCGUAGGCGGUUUGUCGCGUCUGCUGUGAAAACCCGAGGCUUAACCUCGUGGCUUGCGGUGGAUACGGGCAGACUAGAGGUAGGUAGGGGAGAACGGAAUUCCCGGUGUAGCGGUGAAAUGCGCAGAUAUCGGGAGGAACACCGGUGGCGAAGGCGGUUCUCUGGGCCUUACCUGACG